GACGAACGCUGGCGGCGUGCCUAAUACAUGCAAGUCGAGCGAACUUUUGGGAGCUUGCUCCCAAAAGUUAGCGGCGGACGGGUGAGUAACACGUGGGCAACCUGCCUGUAAGACUGGGAUAACUUCGGGAAACCGGAGCUAAUACCGGAUAAUUCUUACCAACUCAUGUUGGUAAGCUAAAAGACGGUUUACGCUGUCACUUACAGAUGGGCCCGCGGCGCAUUAGCUAGUUGGUGAGGUAACGGCUCACCAAGGCAACGAUGCGUAGCCGACCUGAGAGGGUGAUCGGCCACACUGGGACUGAGACACGGCCCAGACUCCUACGGGAGGCAGCAGUAGGGAAUCUUCCGCAAUGGACGAAAGUCUGACGGAGCAACGCCGCGUGAGUGAUGAAGGUUUUCGGAUCGUAAAACUCUGUUGUUAGGGAAGAACAAAUUUGUUAGUAACUGAACAAGUCUUGACGGUACCUAACCAGAAAGCCACGGCUAACUACGUGCCAGCAGCCGCGGUAACAC
rnacentral:rRNA from 1 species